AUGCGAAUUUAUUCUCAUCUGAUGGAUCCGUCAAUGGUCUAAUCAGGGCUAGACAUUCGCUAGAUUAAAAAAGCCUUAUUGUCCACAGAACUGGUCUUGUGCCUGUUCUGGUUAUUUUUCUGCUGUUGACAGUU